rnacentral:lncRNA from 1 species
AUGGGACAAGACAGGAAUGAGCAUAUUGGGGGUGUUUGGCUUAACUUUUGAAAAGUGAUUCUAGACUCAAAAUUGAUUUUCGGCUCAAUAGAGUAUUUUACAAUUUCGUUUUCAAAAUUUGAUUCUGAUUUUUAGAAUAAGUUUUCAGAUUUUUAAGGCCCAUAAUUAGAAGCAGCUAAAACUUACUUUUUGAAAUCUGAUUCUGAUUUUGAACUCAAACUUCAAAUUUUUAUUUUAACUUUCGAUUCAAAGUUUAAAUUUAAAUUUAAUUUUUAAUUUUUAUUUUUGAAUUUUUAAAUUUCAAAAUGCAAAAUUUAAUUUUAAAAGUUAUUUUUAAAAUUUUAAAUAUUUAAUUUUGAAAUUUGAAAUUUUUAAAUUUUAAAUUUUAAAUUUAGAUUUUAAAUUUGAAAUUGAAAAUUUAUAUUUAGCUUUAAAAAUUAAAAGCGUAAUUUUUUAAUUUUCAAUUUUAAAAUUUAUUUUUAAACAAAAAUCUCAAAUUUUAAAUUUUGUACAAAUUUUAAAUUUUAAUUUAUAUUUUUAAAUUAUUUUAAAAUAAAAUUUAGUAAAAAUAUUAUUAUAUGCAAAUAUAAAAUUUGUUCGCCAAACAAGUUUACAAAAUUACUUCAAAAAAAUCGCUUUUAUCUAAAUUCAGCCAAAAGCUCUAUAGCUUUUAACCAAAAUUACUCUCCAAACUAAAAUCAAUUCUGUAGAAACCACUUUUCCACAACACUAGGAUUUGGCACUUGUUUU